rnacentral:rRNA from 1 species
AACGAACGCUGGCGGCAUGCCUAACACAUGCAAGUCGAACGAGACCUUCGGGUCUCGUGGCGCACGGGUGCGUAACGCGUGGGAGUCUGCCCUUGGGUUCGGAAUAACCGGUGGAAACGACUGCUCAUACCGGAUGAUUACGUAAGACCAAAGAUUUAUCGCCCAAGGAUGAGCCCGCGUAGGAUUAGCUAGUUGGUGAGGUAAAGGCUCACAAAGGCGACGAUCCUUAGCUGGUCUGAGAGGAUGAUCAGCCACACUGGGGCUGGGACACGGCCCAGACUCUGACGGAAGGCAGCAGUGGGGAAGAUGGGACACGGGGCGAAGGCCUAAUCCAGCAAUGCCGGGGAAGUGAUGAAGGCCUUAGGGUUGUAAAGCUCUUUUACCCGGGAUGAUAUGAACAGACCCGGAGGAAUAAGCUCCGGUAACCUCCGU